CUGAGGUUAUUCGGCGUCAAGCCGGUCACCCGUCCUUUUGUCAUAAGAUUACGCGCUCCCACCUCUCACGAGGGGGGGGUGUGAAGGUCAUUUCCGCCGAAGCGUUGCGUCCUGCCCGAGAGGGAGGGGCGUGACCGCGGCGGGCCUUUUUUACAAACUCUGUAAGCAAGCUGAAGUCUGAAUUACAAGAAAUUGAAAAAAGCA
rnacentral:misc_RNA from 1 species